rnacentral:rRNA from 1 species
ACGCUCGACACCUACGGGAUGCAGCAGUGAGGGAUAUUGGUCAAUGGGGGAAACCCUGAACCAGCAACGCCGCGUGAGGGAUGACGGUCUUCGGAUUGUAAACCUCUGUCCUCUGUGAAGAUAAUGACGGUAGCAGAGGAGGAAGCUCCGGCUAACUACGUGCCAGCAGCCGUGGUAAUCUGAGCGGGCUGGCAAGGC